UGGGGAAUAUUGGACAAUAACGGGCGAAAGCCUGAUCCAGCAAUGCCGCGUGAGUGAUGAAGGCCUUAGGGUUGUAAAGCUCUUUUACCAGGGAUGAUAAUGACAGUACCUGGAGAAUAAGCUCCGGCUAACUCCGUGCCAGCAGCCGCGGUAAUACGGAGGGAGCUAGCGUUGUUCGGAAUUACUGGGCGUAAAGCGUACGUAGGCGGUGACUCAAGUCAGAGGUGAAAGCCUGGAGCUCAACUCCAGAACUGCCUUUGAAACUAGGUCGCUAGAAUCACGGAGAGGUGAGUGGAAUUCCGAGUGUAGAGGUGAAAUUCGUAGAUAUUCGGAAGAACACCAGUGGCGAAGGCGGCUCACUGGACGUGUAUUGACGCUGAGGUACGAAAGCGUGGGGAGCAAACAGGAUUAGAUACCCCCGUAGUCCCUGAGCGGGCUGGCAAGGCGCAU
rnacentral:rRNA from 1 species